rnacentral:lncRNA from 1 species
GACGCGCCGGCCGAGGCUAUAAAUGCGCGGGCGGGCGUCAUGUGGAGCGGCCGCGGAUCCAGCGGCACCGCUGUCGCCUCCAACGUUACGGCAGCGGCUUUGUCAGUUCCAGCUAUGGCCAAGCCCUGAGCAGGGGCCACAGCCAGCAGAGCUACGACCAGCAGUUGUCCUACGCCCCACCCCCUCCCCUGAGCUACAGCCAGCAGGGCCAGUACAGCUCUGGUGGCUGUGAGUCAUGUUCCUAAAAAAAUCCGGGGUUUUGGGGCAAAUUCUGUGGAUUUUGGGCAAAAUUGGGACUGAAAUUGGGGGAUUCGGGGUGGAAUUUGGGGGUUUGGGAUAGGAACAGUUGUCCUACAACACCCCCCCAAGAUACAGUGGUAGAAAUUCCCCCAAAAUUGCGGGAUUUUGGAAAAAAAAAUUACCAAAUUUGGGGCAGAAUCCCUGGGAUUCGGGGCAGAAUUUGUGGGAUUUAGGGGAGAAUUCUUGGAAUUUGGGGCAGAAUCCCUCAGAUUUUAGGCAGAA